UGAAGAGUUUGAUCCUGGCUCAGAUUGAACGCUGGCGGCAUGCCUUACACAUGCAAGUCGAACGGCAGCACGGGUGCUUGCACCUGGUGGCGAGUGGCGAACGGGUGAGUAAUACAUCGGAACAUGUCCUGUAGUGGGGGAUAGCCCGGCGAAAGCCGGAUUAAUACCGCAUACGAUCCACGGAUGAAAGCGGGGGACCUUCGGGCCUCGCGCUAUAGGGUUGGCCGAUGGCUGAUUAGCUAGUUGGUGGGGUAAAGGCCUACCAAGGCGACGAUCAGUAGCUGGUCUGAGAGGACGACCAGCCACACUGGGACUGAGACACGGCCCAGACUCCUACGGGAGGCAGCAGUGGGGAAUUUUGGACAAUGGGCGCAAGCCUGAUCCAGCAAUGCCGCGUGUGUGAAGAAGGCCUUCGGGUUGUAAAGCACUUUUGUCCGGAAAGAAAA
rnacentral:rRNA from 1 species